UACAACGGCUUUUCGUGCCGUAAAUGGGUUGUCUCCCUAAGUUUUUGGAGUAGGUUAAUUUAAGAC
rnacentral:tRNA from 1 species